ensembl:lncRNA
CCACCCUGCCUAGCCUCACCUAGCCCCACCCCGCCUAGCCUCACCCCGCCUAGCCUCACCUAGCCCCAACCCACCUAGCCCCACCCUGCCUAGCCCCGCCUAGCCUCACCUAGCACCACCCCGCCUAGCCCCUCCAGGCUCAGUCUGCUCUGCACCACAGGCCCCAUCUGUACACUAUGCAACUCUUUGGAUACGUCCCAAAUAGCACCCUUUCCCUAUGUAGUGCACUACUUCUGACCAGCACUACAUAGGGAGUAGGGAGCCAUUCGGAAUAGAACCAAUGUUCACAAUACACAAGAAGAACUUUAUUUAUUGAACAUAGUUUUCUAACUUUAACUCGACUACCUUUCUGUUCAUAUGGAACGAGAAACAAAAUCAUGGAUUUGAGGAUAUUUAAAAAAUAUUUAAGGUUUUAUUUUAUCACUGUUGGUUGCUCACAACUACUACAAUAUUUCUCAUAACGUUUAGAACAAUAAUACAAGUGUAUUUAUUCUGAAAGGAGAUGUGAAGAGGGCUUGCUUUGUGACGAUACCUCAGUGUGUUAAAACUCUUCUCAGUUUACAUUGCAUACAAUACUUCAUCUCCUGGCCUCUUGUGUCCCAAAUGGCACCCUAUUCCUUAUAUAGUGCACUACUUUCACCGGAGCCUUAUCAGCCUUGGUCAAAAGUAGUGCACAACAUAGAGAAUAGGGUGCCAUUUGGGACGCACAACCGGUCUCACAUCAUCUCUGAACCCUCCAUGUAGAAUAACAGCCAUGUUCUCUCUUUAAGGCAGACUAAGGGCUGAGAGAGAGGUGGUAAUAUCACACCACAUCUGUGAUAUAAAGGUCUUUGUUGCUGUUUCUUGGAUGAGACCAUAACGUAGGCUAAUACAAUUCCCCCCCCCCUUGUUACGCCGCUUUCUGUGUUACGAGAUUGUGAAUGGUUUCAUUAAAGGCUGACUCAGCGAGAUGUCGUUGCACAAAGUUAACACCACCCUGCCUAGCCCCACCCUGCCUAGCCCCACCCUGCCUAGCCCCACCUAGUUAACACGUAGUGGAUCCAUUUCCUCCACAACUAGGGAGCACGAGGUUUAACUACUCCGCUGUUUUGGUCCUGUAGUUACCACAUUGUAGCAGCGUGAAGCGCGAGGUUAAACUACUCCGCUGUUUUGGUCCUGUAGCUACCACGUUGUAGAAGCGUGAGGUUAAACUACUCCGCUGUUUUGGUCCUGUAGUUACCACGUUGUAGAAGCGUGAGGUUAAACUACUCUGCUGUUUUGGUCCUGUAGCUACCACGUUGUAGAAGCGUGAGGUUAAACUACUCCGCUGUUUUGGUCCUGUAGCUACCACGUUGUAGAAGCGUGAGGUUAAACUACUCCGCUGUUUUGGUCCUGUAGCUACCACGUUGUAGAAGCGUGAGGUUAAACUACUCCGCUGUUUUGGUCCUGUAGCUACCACGUUGUAGAAGCGUGAGGUUAAACUACUCCGCUGUUUUGGUCCUGUAGCUACCACGUUGUAGCAGCGUGAAGCACGAGGUUAAACUACUCUGCUGUUUUGGUCCUGUAGCUACCACGUUGUAGAAGCGUGAGGUUAAACUACUCCGCUGUUUUGGUCCUGUAGUUACCACGUUGUAGCAGCGUGAAGCACGAGGUUAAACUACUCUGCUGUUUUGGUCCCGUAGCUACCACGUUGUAGCAGCGUGAAGCGUGAGGUUAAACUACUCUGCUGUUUUGGUCCAGUAGCUACCACGUUGUAGCAGCGUGAAGCGCGAGGUUAAACUACUCCGCUGUUUUGGUCCCGUAGCUACCACGUUGUAGCAGCGUGAAGCGUGAGGUUAAACUACUCUGCUGUUUUGGUCCAGUAGCUACCACGUCGUAGCAGCGUGAAGCGCGAGGUUAAACUACUCCGCUGUUUUGGUCCCGUAGCUACCACGUUGUAGCAGCGCGAGGUUAAACUACUCUGCUGUUUUGGUCCCGUAGCUACCACGUUGUAGCAGCGUGAAGCACGAGGUUAAACUACUCUGCUGUUUUGGUCCCGUAGCUACCACGUUGUAGCAGCGUGAGGUUAAACUACUCUGCUGUUUUGGUCCAGUAGCUACCACGUUGUAGCAGCGUGAAGCACGAGGUUAAACUACUCUGCUGUUUUGGUCCCGUAGCUACCACGUUGUAGCAGCGUGAGGAUAAACUACUCCGCUGUUUUGGUCCUGUAGCUACCACGUUGUAGCAGCGUGAGGUUAAACUACUCUGCUGUUUUGGUCCAGUAGCUACCACGUUGUAGCAGCGUGAGGUUAAACUACUCUGCUGUUUUGGUCCAGUAGCUACCACGUUGUAGCAGCGUGAGGUUAAACUACUCCGCUGUUUUGGUCCAGUAGCUACCACGUUGUAGCAGCGUGAAGCGCGAGGUUAAACUACUCUGCUGUUUUGGUCCAGUAGCUACCACGUUGUAGCAGCGUGAAGCGCGAGGUUAAACUACUCUGCUGUUUUGGUCCAGUAGCUACCACGUUGUAGCAGCGUGAAGCGCGAGGUUAAACUACUCUGCUGUUUUGGUCCAGUAGCUACCACGUUGUAGCAGCGUGAAGCGCGAGGUUAAACUACUCUGCUGUUUUGGUCCUGUAGCUACCACGUUGCAGCAGCGUGAGGUUAAACUACUCUGCUGUUUUGGUCCAGUAGCUACCACGUUGUAGCAGCGUGAGGUUAAACUACUCUGCUGUUUUGGUCCUGUAGCUACCACGUUGUAGCAGCGUGAGGUUAAACUACUCUGCUGUUUUGGUCCAGUAGCUACCACGUUGUAGCAGCGUGAAGCGUGAGGUUAAACUACUCCGCUGUUUUGGUCCUGUAGCUACCACGUUGUAGCAGCGUGAAGCACACCCGUGCACAUGCUUUGUGUGAUUGUAUCUCACUUCAUCUUCGUUGCAACGUCAUCUCGAUGAGUCUACUUUUAAUUCCAUUGUAUCGUCAGCGGACGGUCUCCCAGUUGGGUCAGUACUCUGUCAGUACAUGUCUGUAUGGUGCUGUGUUUUAUGUUGGAAUAAUACUUCCAGGAGACUGGACCUUGACAGCGUACUGCAUCUAAGAACUAUCCCUUUGUGAUAUUACUGAAACUUAACCAACUGCCAUAUCUACUUAAAAGUUAUAUAUUUUACAAUUUCAACAGAGCAAAACAUUGUAUUUUCAGAUGUGUCAAAUAAAUUAACUUUUUUUUUUUACAACUUGUACUUCUCAGGUCAUUUAUCAUAUCCAGAGUGUGUAAAAAAAUUGACUUAAUUUGUUUCACAGAAGGGUACAUUUGUUUAUUUAAACAAAUCAUAUUUCAAAGGUGUAAAUGUCUCCCAUAUUAGUCAAUAGAAACAACCAUUUGGCUUAGUUCAUUAAAUGUCAGUAGUUACAGUGCCUUCAGGAAGCAUUCACAACCCUCAACUUUUCACACAUUUUGUUGUUACAGCAUGAAUUGUUUUUUUAUUUACAUUUAGAUUUUAUCACUGGCCAGCACAUAACACCCCAUCAUGUCAAAGUGGAAUUGUUUAUUUUUUGAAAUUAACUAAAAAUUAAAAGCUGAAAUGUCUAGAGUCAAUAAGAAUUCAACCCCUUUAUGGCAAGCCUACCAAGACAGUGGCCAAGUUACAAUUUUAACUUAAAUCUAUGGCAAUACCUGAAAACGGUGGUCUAGCAAUGAUUAACAACCCAUUUGACACAGCUUGAAGAAUUUAGAAAAUAAUGUGCAGAUGUUGCACUAUCCAGGUGUGGAAAGUGCUUAAGACUUACCCAGAAACACUCACACCUGUAAUCACUGUCAAAGGUGCUUCUACAAAAUAGUGACUUGGGUGUGAAAACUCAUGUAAAUUAUAUUAUAUAUAUAUAUAUAUUUCAUUUAAGUAAAUUUGAAAACGUGUUUUCACUUUUAUUAUGGGGUAUUUGUGUCUAGAUGGGUGAGGGGGAAAACAUCUAUAUAAUCCAGGCUAUAACAAACUGUUUUCACUUUUAUUAUGGGGUAUUUGUGUCUAGAUGGGUGAGGGGGAAAACAUCUAUAUAAUCCAGGCUAUAACAACACCUGUGGAAUAAGUCCAUGGGGAGAAAUACUUUCUGAAGACACUAUAACAAACAUAUAAAACAACAUGUAAAGUUUUGGUCCCAGGUUUCAUGAGCUGAAAUAAAAGAUCCCAGAAAUGUUCCAUGUGCACAAAACGUUUCUCAAAUGAUGUGCACAUUAGUUAACAUCCUCGUUAGUGAGCAUUUCUCCUUUUUGCCAAUUUAAUCCAUCCAUCUGACAGGAGUGGCAUAUCAAGAAGCUCAUUAAACAGCAUGAUCAUUACACAGGUGCACCUUGUGUUAAAGGUUUGAGGGAGAGUGCAAUUGGUAUGCUGACUGCAGGAAUGUCCACCAGAGCUUUCAAUGGUUUUUUUCUACCCUAAGCUGCUUUCGUUUUAGAGAAUUUGUCAGUAUGUUGAACCGGCCUCAUAACCGCGGCCCACUUGUAACAACACCGUUCCAGGACCUCCACAUCCGGCUUCUUCACCUGCGGGAUCGUCUGAGGCCCGCCACCCGAACAGCUGAUGAAACUGUAGGUUUGCACAACUGAAUCAUUUCUGCAUAAACUGUCAGAAACCGCCUCGGGGAAGCUCAUCUGCGUGCUCGUCCUCCUCA